rnacentral:rRNA from 2 species
ACCCGUUCCCAUACCGAACACGGAAGUUAAGCUUCUCAGCGCCGAUGGUAGUUGGGGGCUGUCCCCCUGUGAGAGUAGGACGCUGCCGGGC